AUUGAACGCUGGCGGCAGGCCUAACACAUGCAAGUCGAACGAGUGGCGGACGGGUGAGUAAUGUCUGGGAAACUGCCUGAUGGAGGGGGAUAACUACUGGAAACGGUAGCUAAUACCGCAUACCAUCGGAUGUGCCCAGAUUGGAUUAGCUAGUAGGUGGGGUAAAGGCUCACCUAGGCGACGAUCCCUAGCUGGUCGGAGAGGAUGACCAGCCAAACUGGACUUGAGACACGGUCCAGAUUCCUCCGGGAGGCAGCAGUGGGGAAGAUUGCACAAGGGGCGAAAGCUUGCUGCAGCAAGGCCGCGUGUAUGAAGAAGGCCUUCGGGUUGUAAAGUACUUUCAUCGGGGAGGCGUUACCCGCAGAAGAAGCACCGGCUAACUCCGUGCCAGCAGCCGCGGUAAUAC
rnacentral:rRNA from 1 species